rnacentral:rRNA from 1 species
CAGCCGCCACGGUAAUACGUAGGGUGCAAGCGUUAAUCGGAAUUACUGGGCGUAAAGCGUGCGCAGGCGGUUAUAUAAGACAGUCGUGAAAUCCCCGGGCUCAACCUGGGAACUGCGAUUGUGACUGUAUGGCUAGAGUGUGUCAGAGGGGGGUAGAAUUCCACGUGUAGCAGUGAAAUGCGUAGAUAUGUGGAGGAAUACCGAUGGCGAAGGCAGCCCCCUGGGAUAACACUGACGCUCAUGCACGAAAGCGUGGGGAGCAAACAGGAUUAGAUACCCCUGUAGUCCCUGUCUCUUAUAC